UCGGAAAAUAAAACCGAACGACUAGGAUCAACAAAUUGCAAUUGGUUUCGAGCCACUCGUCGGUCUACGCUUCGCACGCGGUCGUCAGGAGAGGUGGAAGAAGUGGAGCGACGUCAGAAUUAGCCCCAGAAAAAAUCCAUCACAGUUGAGCAAGCAGCGAAUCGUGUGUGCGUCCGUAGGCCUCGGAGACCCGGGAUUAGGGUAGAUAAAUAACGAUUUUCGACAGCGAUGAAGUUUCUAGGUCCCAGCAUUGCGAAGAUAAAAUUCUAAUCAUCAAAAGACACGAGAAUAUAUUGAUGCAAUUAUCUUGUUGAUACGGAAUGGGGGACAAACGCAAGUAGGAACGCUUUUGACAAUUACCUUGAAUUUUUUGCCCAUUAAUUAUCGUUAUAUUUAUUAUUUGCCGAGUUUUGUCAAAUCACGUUGCACAUUGUACAACAAUUUUUCAUAUGUAAAAAAAUCUCACGCAUUCCAAUGGCGGUUGACUUAUGUCCGCUUGUCAAAACGUAUAUUGCAGCCAUGGGCGAGCUGUAAUUUGUUUGAAUAAUGUUACGCCGUGUUAUCGGCAAAUGCCAUUGUAGCCGAAACUAAAAUACUGUCCUGGCUAUAUUUAUGAAUAUUUAAUGAACUGGCGCUAAUCGUCGAAUCAGACUCUGCGUUAGUUGAAACUUACAAGUGCAGAGCCGGACCAGCAAUAUCUACGAUAAGAACCAUUUGAUUAUAAUUCUCUAGGUACAUAAUUUUCGCUGCGUUUUCUGAGUUCCUGGUGGUCCAAUUAGUCGGGAUAGGGUCAUUUAAAUCGAAUCUGAGACCAUGAAUUUUCGGCUCCAAAAAUGAAGAAAAAGUAAGGC
rnacentral:lncRNA from 1 species